AGCCUGAUCCAGCACGCCGCGUGAGGGAUGACGGCCUUCGGGUUGUAAACCUCUUUCGGUGGGGACGAAGCGCAAGUGACGGUACCCACUAAAGAAGCACCGGCCAACUACGUGCCAGCAGCCGCGGUAAUACGUAGGGUGCGAGCGUUGUCCGGAAUUAUUGGGCGUAAAGGGCUCGUAGGCGGUUUGUCGCGUCGGGAGUGAAAACGCCGUGCUUAACACGGCGCUUGCUUUCGAUACGGGCAGACUAGAGGUAUUCAGGGGAGAACGGAAUUCCUGGUGUAGCGGUGAAAUGCGCAGAUAUCAGGAGGAACACCGGUGGCGAAGGCGGUUCUCUGGGAAUGACCUGACGCUGAGGAGCGAAAGUGUGGGGAGCGAACAGGAUUAGAUACCCUGGUAGUCCACACCGUAAACGUUGGGCGCUAGGUGUGGGGUCCAUUCCACGGAUUCCGUGCCGCAGCUAACGCAUUAAGCGCCCCGCCUGGGGAGUACGGCCGCAAGGCUAAAACUCAAAGGAAUUGACGGGGGCCCGCACAAGCGGCGGAGCAUGCGGAUUAAUUCGAUGCAACGCGAAGAACCUUACCUGGGUUUGACAUACACCCUGCCGCUCCAGAGAUGGGGCUUCUUUUG
rnacentral:rRNA from 1 species